AGCAACAUCACAAUGAUGAUUGCUCUCCUUAUUUUUCUUUACUUCCAAAUUACUAUGUCACGUCCAUAUUUGAGAAUAUUAUCCAAAAUCUUCUGCUUACUAUUCUUUAAACAAGAAAUAAAUUGUUUUGUGUUUGUUUGUAGAUAAAUAUGUAUAUUAUGCAGUGAAUUUGAAGUUGGUGAAUAUAUGUAACACAUGUAAUACAUACAUUUGGAAUAAUGUGUUACAUAAAACAUAAUAAAAACAAAAAUAAAAAUGCAAAAUCCAAGCCACAUUGCUAUAUAACGAUAAUAUUCUGUGUUUCUUGGUCAUCCUAUUUCUUUCGCGCGCAAAAGAAUAAACGGUAUAGUCGAUUCGCAGCAUCACGGGGGUAUCAUCCAGAGUAUCGAAGGACAGUAGCACAUCCGCUCGUGCACACGAUCGUACACCCUCGGGAGUCCUCGUAGCUCUUCGUGAAUCCGUUCGUGGACCGCCUGGGGGCCCUACGAGCGUAAUACCGGUAGCCACUACGCCAAAAGGGUCGCAUUCGCACAGGAACAGAGAAAAAAAAAGAAAGAUAGAAGUAUACAGAUAGAGGGAGACAGAAUGAAAGAAGCAACCGAGAACGGAAUAUCCAGAGCCGAGCCUGAGAGAGAAUAGGCUGUAGACUUGAGAGAACUGGCAUCUUUUCUUCAAGAUACAUUCAAACUUAAAAAAAAUGAACAGAGAAAGAACGGAGCGGGGGAGGAGAGAGGAAGUCACUGGCAGCGGCCACUACAGGCACGGAGCCACAGGGGGAAGGAGUGGAGGAAAAGUGAGGAGGGGGACAGGAUUCGAACGGACGGGAGACAUUCCAAUCUCUCGUGGCAAGCUUGCCUGCUUUGCUUCGUUCGCUUGUCUGCUUGUCCGUUUGCCAAGAUAUCGUCGUCCUAAAGCCGACCCACGCUACAUCAAAUUACAUCGUAACCAUAUAAUCUCAUAUGAUUAUUAAAGUCGAUUUUGAAGAAAAAAGUAUUUCUUAAAAAUCUAGAUAUAUGUAUAUACAUCGUAUACGUCCUCAAGUAAAGAAGAAAUUCGAUGAUAUACGUUCGAACGAUGUCCAAGAUAAUACAGGUUAUGUAACAUCAUUUUAAUGAUAUUCCACUUAUAGAUACUUUUAUAUAGAAUUCGUUUUUUUUACAUAUUUACAUAAAAAAAUUUUUUAAACAAAUUUUAAAUAAAUUUAGAAAUUAAUUUAAAAAAAAUGAUCGGAAUUUGGUUUUACUAAGUAUACCCAUGAUGAUGUCAAUAACUACGAAACCGUUAUGACGCAUAUGCAGAUGUAAAAGAAUGUCCUUGGCGAAAUACGUUUGUUAUGUAUAUAUAUAUAUAUAUAUAGUAAGUAUAUAAUAUUUCGAGCAAAAAUAUAUGUCAUAUAUUUCAGUAUUCGAUAUAUAUAUUUUUUCGACAAAUAAACUUGUGCUUGCAUAACUAAAUAAAGCCAACAUUGCUUUGGAACAUUAAACUUGUUAAUAUACUUUAAAAUUAACAAUCAGACGCCGGCUAAUUGUUCUUAUUUACUAGGAAUGAUGAUACUUUUUAUUUUGCAUAGAUUAAUGUGAACAAGAAUAUAUUGAAUAUAUUGAUCAGUGAUAAUCAUCAUGAGAAAUCUAGUUUGAUUAUAGAGUAAAAUUCCUUAUUUUUUAAAAAUAAAAUUUUCAAAUUUAACAAAGUUUCAAACUGCAGAAAUUAACAAAUUUAUGAGUUUUUAAAUAUUAUGAACUAAUGUCGAAUGUUAUUUUAUAUGUAUAUUAUAUAUAAUGUAUGAACAUCUGUUCUCCAGUUAUAUGAAUCAAUGAAAACAGAAACAUAAUGUAUUAAAUUAAUGCACUACAUAAUUCGAAAAAUAAAAUAUAUAAUUGAAUUAUAGUCUUGAUAUUUUAAUAAAAAAAAAAAUUUUUCUUUAA